AUGGAUUGAUGGGAUCGAUUAACCGGGUCUGAUUGAAGGGAAAUGGAAGUGUGCAGGCGGAGGAUAAGAGAUUGAGCGAUGAAUGUGGAGCUUUGGUUUUGUCUGUGAGGAAACGCUUUAAAGGAAAUGUCUCCGUAAACUUUUCCCGCACGCCACAUUUCAGUCGCGCAACGUAAAUGGGACAAAGCGCGGGCAGAUUCCCCUCAGAUAUAAAUAUAUUUAUUUGAUCAGAUGAGCAGCCUCAGUCAGUACAGCGAACGGACCGAAAACACCAACAACCUCCAUCCCAGAGCUGUCUCUCCUCAGCCUGUGACUGCUGCACUACAGCAUGUAGACAGCAGUGCAUUCUCCUGCAGCCUUUGCAAAUGAAAAUGGAGGACGUCUCUCUGUCCAGUAUGGACAACAGUAAGAUGGAGGGCUUUGCUCAAGAGAUCCUGUCUGACCUGGUCGAAGAUGCCUGUUUGGGUCUUUGUUUCGAGGUGCACAGGGCUGUCAAACAGGGUUACUUUUUCUUGGAUGAUACAGACCAGGAGAGUAUGAAAGACUUUGAAAUUGUGGACCAGCCUGGUGUAGACAUUUUUGGGCAAGUGUAUAACCAGUGGAAAAACAAAGAGUGCGUGUGUCCCAACUGCAGCCGCAGUAUUGCCGCUUCUCGCUUCGCUCCACACCUGGAGAAAUGCCUCGGGAUGGGUCGUAACAGCAGUCGCAUUGCCAACCGCAGGAUUGCUAGCGGCAACAACACAAACAAAUCAGAGAGCGAUCAAGAGGACAAUGAUGAUGUAAAUGACAACGAUUGGUCUUAUGGCGCAGAAAAGAAAGCCAAGAAGAGAAAGUCAGAUAAGAAUCCAAAUUCACCAAGAAGAUCCAAAUCAAUGAAACAUAAAAGUGACAUGUAAAGCAACAGGAGUGGAUAAAAAGAGACUUAACCUGAUGUCUGGCUGAUUCGUGUCACAGAUGAGAGAUUCUUCAUAACAUUAUGAAGGAUGAUGUGUUUGUAGAAAAAACUUUGCUGGGUCCUUAGCAUCGUGUGGAGAACCAGGAUAGCUCCUGCUUGUUGCUAAGAGACGAGACAUUUUCCCAGUAAUGCUGUUUGAGGCAGAAGCCACUUGCUACCCUCGGUGCUCCACGGUUUACCUAAGACAGGAUUGUGUGCGCUGAAUCACGCUGAUAAACGGAGGAGAUAUGGACUGAUUCUUCUGACAUUUAGUUUACAUUAGUUUUUCUCAUUUCUGUAUUCUUUUUUCAGGAAUAUUUGCACAAUUGCUCAUGGCUGGUCUCUUUAAACCGACACGUAUAGAUUAGAGGAACUUGCGCAAUUCUCUCAGGGAGGAAGUAAGAACUCAUCAUCUUAUUGGCAGGCAGAAAGAGCUGAGCAUAGAGUCAUAGAUGCUGGGCCAGUUGACCUCUCUUAUAAGAACGGGAUUUGUUCUGAAUGAAACAGUAUAUAAUUACACAUUCUCACACUUGCCCUCCCAUUCUAGGGGAUGUUGAAACAAUUAUAAAACAUUGUGCAAGAAUAAUAGCUUAAAAGUCAAUAUUAGUAAUCAGUGUAAGCAAUUCUGCAUCAGGUUACUUACUAUACAGUUUUUUCAUAUCAAAUUAUUAUUAUUAUUAUUAUUAUUGAAAAUCAUGAUCUAGUAGAUUCAUUUAUUUUCUCUGUAGUUCCAAUAGCCAAAGUGUGGUACCGUUGUACUAUAUUUCACUAGUUCAAUAGCACGUUAUAAUAAUUCUACAUUUACCGUGGUAAGUUAUUGGUUACAGAGAGAACACAGGUUAUUGUAAAUCUCCAAAAAAAGAACCAAUCAAGACUUGAGAGUAUCUUUAUCAUUGCAAUUGGUUUCUUUUCUUUUUGUAUUUCACAUGUAUUAGAUGUUUACAGUGUAAGGUGUCUUGUGUUGUCUCACUUUGUGUGUAACUGGGUAUAUAUAUAUCUUGACUAGAUGAAAGAUGCUGCUAUCCUGACCAUGAGCCACUGGCUUAUGGGUUUAUGGGCAUGUAAUAAAAAUCUCUGAACACGCUUUAUGUGUGAACCAAAAAAAAGUGUUUUAGAAAUAUGGGUGUUGUGUUGCUUGCCAAAUUCACCAAAAUUGGGAGAUUAUAAUAAAGAGGGGUAUAA